GAAGUAAAAGCGUAACAAGGUUUCCGUAGGUGAACCUGCGGAUGGAUCAUUAUUGUAUAACCGAGGUGCGAGGGCUGUCGCUGACCCGAAAGGUCGUGCACGCCCGAGUGCCCUCACACACAUCCAUCUCACCCCUAUGUGCACCACCGCGUGGGUCCCCCUUUGGCUUGUUCGGAGGGGGGCUUACGUUUUCACACAAACUUUGUAUGCAGUGUAGAAUGUAUUUUUUGUUUUUGCGAUCACGCAAUCAAUACAACUUUCAACAACGGAUCUCUUGGCUCUC
rnacentral:misc_RNA from 1 species